rnacentral:tRNA from 1 species
ACCAGGAUGGCCGAGUGGUUAAGGCGUUGGACUUAAGAUCCAAUGGACAUUUGUCCUCGUGGGUUCGAACCCCACUCCUGGUA